rnacentral:rRNA from 1 species
UUKGGGAAUGCAGYUHUAAAKGGGAGGUAAAUUUCUUHUAAAGDUAAAUAUUGGCCAGAGACCGAUAGCGCACAAGUAGAGUGAUCGAAAGAUGAAAAGCACUUUGGAAAGAGAGUCAAAAAGCACGUGAAAUUGUUGAAAGGGAAGCGCUUGCAGCCAGACUUGCCUGUAGUUGCUCAUCCGGGCUUUUGCCCGGUGCACUCUUCUAUGGGCAGGCCAGCAUCAGUCCCAGCGGUUGGAUAAAUGCCUGUUGAAUGUACCUCUCCUCGGGGAGGACUUAUAGCUUCAGGCGGCAUACAACCAGCCGGGAUUGAGGUCCGCG